rnacentral:rRNA from 1 species
CUGAUUAGCUAGUUGGUGAGGUAAAAGCUCACCAAGGCAGCGAUCAGUAGCUGGUCUGAGAGGACGAUCAGCCACACUGGGACUGAGACACGGCCCAGACUCCUACGGGAGGCAGCAGUGGGGAAUUUUCCGCAAUGGGCGAAAGCCUGACGGAGCAAGACCGCGUGAGGGAGGAAGGCUCUUGGGUUGUAAACCUCUUUUCUCAGGGAAGAAGCUCUGACGGUACCUGAGGAAUCAGCCUCGGCUAACUCCGUGCCAGCAGCCGCGGUAAUACGGAGGAGGCAAGCGUUAUCCGGAAUUAUUGGGCGUAAAGCGUCCGCAGGUGGCGAUUCAAGUCUGCUGUCAAAGCACGGGGCUUAACUCCGUUAAGGCAGUGGAAACUGAAUAGCUAGAGUGCCGUAGGGGUAGAGGGAAUUCCCGGUGUAGCGGUGAAAUGCGUAGAGAUCGGGAAGAACAUCGGUGGCGAAAGCGCUCUACUGGACGGCAACUGACACUCAGGGACGAAAGCUAGGGGAGCGAAUGGGAUUAGAUACCCCAGUAGUCCUAGCUGUAAACGAUGGAUACUAGGUGUAGCUUGUAUCGACCCGAGCUGUGCCGAAGCUAACGCGUUAAGUAUCCCGCCUGGGGAGUACGCACGCAAGUGUGAAACUCAAAGGAAUUGACGGGGGCCCGCACAAGCGGUGGAGUAUGUGGUUUAAUUCGAUGCACGCGAAGAACCUUACCAGGGCUGACAUGUCCGGGAUCCCGGUGAAAGCUGGGAGGCUUCGGGAGCCGGACACAGUGUGCAUGCUGUCGCGCUCGUGUCGUGAGAUUGGGUUAAGUCCCGCAACGAGCACCUGUCUUUAGUUGCCAGCAUUA